AUGACGUCAAGUCCUCAUGGCCCUUAUAUCCAGGGCUACACACACGCUACAAUGGCCAGUACAAUGGGUUGCCAAGCCGCGAGGCGGAGCCAAUCCUAAAAGCUGGCCUCAGUUCAGAUUGCAGUCUGCAACUCGACUGCAUGAAGUUGGAGUUGCUAGUAACCGCAGGUCAGCAAUACUGCGGUGAAUACGUUCCCGGGGAUU
rnacentral:rRNA from 1 species